GAAAAGUUUAUUAAAUAUAUAAAAAAAGUAUUUUUUAUUUUUAUUAAUUUUUAUGAAUUAAUUAUUAUUAUUAUAGUUUAUUAGUAUUGUAAAAGAAUUUUAUUUAUUAUUUAAAAGAAAAAUUUAAUUUUUGUACCUUGUGUAUCAGGGUUUAUUAAUUAAAAUUUAUAUUGUUUAAAUUUCUCGAAUUUAAAAGAGCUAUAUUCAUAUAUUUUUUAUUGUUGAAUAAAUAUUAUUAAUAUGAAUAUGGAAGUGAAAUGCUAUACGAUUUUAAAUAUAUCUAGUUUUUUAAGAAAAAAAUUUAAUUUUAUUUUUAUAUUAUUAUUAAAUUAAAUUUUUAAUUUAAUAUUAAUAAAAAUUUAUAUUUUAAGGGAUGAGCUUUAUUAUAAAGUUAUAUAAUUUAAUAAGAAUAAUUUUAAUAAGUAGAAUUGAAAGUUUUUAUCUUUAUUAGUGUUUUAUAACUAAUUAUAAUUAUAAUAAGAUUUUUAUUUAAAUUUAUUUUUUUUAUUAGAAUAUAAAUUUAAAUUAUAUAAAUUUAGAAAUAAUGAUAAAAUUAGUAUAAUUUAAUGUAAUAUACAUAUAUAUAUAUAUAUUAAAGGUUAAAUAAAGUAACUCGGCAAAUAUAUUUUUCACCUGUUUAAUAAAAACAUGGCUUUUUGAUUAUAAUUUAAGGUCUAGCCUGCCCAAUGAUAUAUAUUAAAUGGCCGCGGUAUCUUGACCGUGCAAAGGUAGCAUAAUCAUUAGUUUUUUAAUUGAAAGCUGGAAUGAAAGGUUGGAUGAGAAAAUAACUGUCUCUAUUUAAAUUUUUUAGAAUUUUAUUUUUAAGUAAAAAAGCUUAAAUAAUUAUAGAAGACGAGAAGACCCUAUAGAGUUUUAUAAUUUUUUUUUUUAGAGUUUUUAGAAUUUUAAUAUUUAUAAGGAAAAAUUAUUUAGUUGGGGUGAUUGAAAAAUUAAAUAAACUUUUUUUUUAUAAAAUCAUUAAUUAAUGAAAAUUUGAUCCUUUUUUUAAGAUUAAAAGAUUAAAUUACCUUAGGGAUAACAGCGUAAUUUUUUUUGAGAGUUCUAAUCGAAAAAAAAGAUUGCGACCUCGAUGUUGGAUUAAAAUUAAUUUUUGGUGUAGAAGCUAAAAGAUUAGGUCUGUUCGACCUUUAAAAUUUUACAUGAUCUGAGUUUAAACCGGUGUGAGCCAGGUUGGUUUCUAUCUCUAUAAAAGUAAAAUAUUUUAGUACGAAAGGAUCAAGUAUUUGGUUUAUAAUUUUUACAUAGAAUAAU
rnacentral:rRNA from 1 species